AUCUGAGCGGUAACCGUAUUGACGCUCGUCACUGACUCACUGAUUCUGUAACGCUUUGAGAUAGCGCCUGCCUGCAGAAUGCCAGUCGCCGCCGCGCCGAUUCAUCAUAUUGCCAUCCGGGGCAGUAAGCGUGGGCGAGGCCAGAAACCGAAGUUUCUAUAACUCGCUAAGUGCAUAGCAAUUCAGGUGCACCCCACACUGGUGAAGAAUCAUUUGAAUCGACGGCGGGGGGGUUGUGGUCCGGCUUUUGACAUGAAUGCGCCAAAGACCGCCACUGCGUACAUACGUACAAAGGUUGUGAGUCCACCUUAAGGCCUGCUUUGCACAAUAAGCCGGAUUGUGCGCGAGGAAACGAAGCUGGUGUAAACACGCGGCUCGGAGGCACUCGGCCCAGCUCGGGCAUGUCCGCUUGGCGGCGGCGGGCUCCGGGAAGCGCGCGCUUGGCGGUUGUGUCGCAGUCCGCCGCCAGAGACCCGCCCGAGCCGCGGCCAUGGAGAACGACUCGGUCGUGCUGCUCAGCUUCCUGCUCUUCGUGGCGAUCCUCGCCGCAGUGUUGCUGGGAGUUCGCUUGUUCUAUUCGGCGCACGGCUUCUAGCGGCUGUACCAAUCAGAGAGAGGGCCGCCAGGACUCCACGAAUCCAGACAACGAGCAGACUCGUUCUCCGCUCCUGUCUCCACGUGGAUUUGACACCAUGCCGAAUACGAUGUUCCAGUUCCUACAGUCAGACCUUUUAAACUUUUAUAGGAAUAAAAUUGUUACAUGUUUUAUAGCAACCUUUUUUACAAUAAAAAGACAACUUUUGUAAUAA